rnacentral:rRNA from 1 species
GAUGAACGCUGGCGGCGUGCCUAAUACAUGCAAGUCGAGCGAACAGACGAGGAGCUUGCUCCUCUGUCGUUAGCGGCGGACGGGAGAGUAACACGUGGAUAACCUACCUAUAAGACUGGGAUAACUUCGGGAAACCGGAGCUAAUACCGGAUAAUAUAUUGAACCGCAUGGUUCAAUAGUGAAAGACGGUUUUGCUGUCACUUAUAGAUGGAUCAGCGCCGCAUUAGCUAGUUGGUAAGGUAACGGCUUACCAAGGCAACGAUGCGUAGCCGACCUGAGAGGGUGAUCGGCCACACUGGAACUGAGACACGGUCCAGACUCCUACGGGAGGCAGCAGUAGGGAAUCUUCCGCAAUGGGCGAAAGCCUGACGGAGCAACGCCGCGUGAGUGAUGAAGGUCUUCGGAUCGUAAAACUCUGUUAUUAGGGAAGAACAAAUGUGUAAGUAACUAUGCACGUCUUGACGGUACCUAAUCAGAAAGCCACGGCUAACUACGUG